rnacentral:rRNA from 1 species
AGAGACAGCAGUAGCCGCGGGAACACAGAGGGUGCAAGCGUUACUCGGAAUUACUGGGCGUAAAGCGUGCGUAGGUGGUGGUUUAAGUCCGUUGUGAAAGCCCUGGGCUCAACCUGGGAAUUGCAGUGGAUACUGGGUCACUAGAGUGUGGUAGAGGAUAGUGGAAUUUCCGGUGUAGCAGUGAAAUGCGUAGAGAUCGGAAGGAACAUCUGUGGCGAAGGCGACUGACUGGACAAGUAUUGACGCUGAGGUGCGAAAGCGUGGGGAGCAAACAGGAUUAGAUACCCCCGUAGUCCCUGUCUCUUAUAC